AGCACCUGAUGGUUUAGGCGACACGUA
rnacentral:piRNA from 1 species